rnacentral:lncRNA from 1 species
GCUGAUGGGUAUUCGUAAAAAGAACGGGAUCUCCAAUAUCCCACAAAAUCAUGGGAUAUUCAUAAAGAGAUAAUCCUAUGUUUGAGAAUGAGCCACUAAUGGCGGAGACCCUCGAAUUACAGAGAAUCAUGGGAUAUUCAUAAAGAGAUCAUCCUAUGUUCGAGAAUGAGCCACUAAUGGCGGAGACCCUCGAAUUACAGAGAAAAUCAAGAGAGAAGAAACAAGGGAGAAACAGAUUUGUAACCACAAUCGUUUAUAAAUAAAAAAUUCUUGUUUCUUCAUAUUUUUGUUUGUGGUUAAAAUUUAUUUUCCAUGAAUUUAAAUUAUGUUGCAAACAACUUCAUACAAAAGUGUAUGAAGUUAAACAUGAAUAUUCAAUGUUCAAUCAAAAUGGCU